ensembl:lncRNA
GUUCGAGGAAACCUAAACAUGUAUUACGUUUUUAAUUGCUUACCCGUACCCUGAAAUUGGCAUUAAGGCCUCUGACAGUUGUGCGGCCCAGCUAGUAAAAUAAGUGUUUUCUGUGACUUUGCCGGUAAUCACCAUGCAGACGUGGGGAGAGCACUUUGCCCAGACCUGCAGCCCCUGAACUACAUACUUUGCAAGGUAAGCCUCACAGAGAUCCGGAAAUCUUCUCAACAGCAUACACUAUAUUUUCAUCCCAUCAAAUUUACUUUUUAAUUACUUUCUUAUCUUUGUUGUUUGACUGUGACAUUUCAUACAAAUUCUCAUUCUCCUUGACGGCCGGUUUUCCAAAUCUGGCCAUGUCACAUACUUUCUGGAAAAUAGCGGAACGAAAUCUGAAGGUGGUGUGACUCGACUCUGUGUGUGUGUGACUUUGUGUCUCUGUGUGUGUGACUUUGUGUCUCUGUGUGUGUGACUUGUGUCUCUGUGUGUGUCUGCAAUGAGUCAUCACCACAAGACCAUACAACCUCAAUUCCAGACACCAUCUCUUGCGCUCUAUACUUAUUUGCCCUAGUUACUAUUUACUAAUUUCCCAUAGACUUUAAUCCAAAAUGUACUUCCGGUGAAUUAAAAUAUGUUUAAUUAAGAAGAGGGGUUAGGGGUGAGCGCCCCGCUACCCUAAGAUACCUACAGUACCUUUAGCGUUGAGAGUUGAACCGAAUAGUGCUCUCCGUCUGUCUACACGAGUUCCUCAUUCCGCAAAUUCUCUCAUUAUUGAUCGGAUAGUUCUGCCUUUGUGGGGUCAUGAAUACUAUAGCAUAUUGCAUGAUGAUGUAGUGGACUGCUGUGGAGAGGGCCGGUGAUGUCCGAACAGGCGUCUGGUUUCUAUUUACGUAAGUCGAUAGCAUGGAUUGGUUUAAAGAAUGUUUUGUUUGUUCCUCGAAAGGCAGUCCAGCAACAAAGGCAUACACCAAAGCCGUCCCCAAACGCGAACCACUAUAACUAAGUAGACCCACUGUCAACCUUAUCAUCUCAACGUGGAGCUAUAAUC